UUAGAAAGCAGUGAAUGAAACACAUAAUCUUUCUAGGUUCAUAUUGAAUUGAGGACAUGUAGACUCUGAAUCCAAUAAAGGGGUUCUCAAAGUGGUUCCACCUGAGACCCAGACUGAAUUAAGCAUAACCCCUGGGUCUCACUGGGGAAACCAGAGCAAAUUAAAAUAUAAUCAAACUCUUGAGAGUUUGAUUGAGAUUAGACCCAUCAGGAACAGACUAAUUUCUUGUGAAUAUGAUCAGUGACUCCCAGACUGGGACCAAAAGACCUCCAGGAGUACAUCAAGAGGCCCCAUAUCCACUGCUGAAUGGUGUGAUUUCACUCUUAUUUAAUUUGAGGAUAUGAGAAGCACCCACUGACAUGAGCUUUACUGGAUCAGAGAUUUCACUCUCUCUGCUGUAACAUAACAAUGGCCAAGAACAAUAUCAAACCCAGUGUGACAAUAAAUACUGUCUCAAAUCUGGCUUCCUUGGGGAAAGUUUAUCUAAUGGGUGACUCGUUUGUGUCUUUUGAGCGGGCUUAGGCAUGGAAACGUUUAGUUAGAAGCUCCUGGCACAAGUACACCUGGUGUAAAACUGAGUCGUCAGCUCUGCAAUGUCACUUUAAGUCCAACAGAUGUCCCUGUCUAAUCACACUUUCACACUGCCUGGGGCAGCAGACAUGGUACAACUGAAUUGAAGAUUUGACACUACAGAUGACAUGGCCACAGGUUGUGACAGCCAAUUUUCGGUCAGCACUGGGGGAAAGGAAGCAGGAGUUGCAGCACAUCCAAUAAGACAUUUGAAGACCUACAAGAAGAUAAGGUCUCACCAGCCUCUCUCCAGCAAAGACAGCAAACCUUGUGGAGUUGGUUUGGAAGCAAAGGUAGUGCUGACCAGAGGCGUGAGCUGUGAAGUAACUCCAAGGUGAGGGGAGUUGGUGAACAUCUUCAAAUCCCAAGGCUCCAACAAGAAAUAACCUGAAGAACUCACCGGUGACCAGCAUGUCUUCAGGAAUCUCUUCAAUGAUGCAUUUUUCCUCCUGUUCUGCAAGAUCAAAAUACAUGGCUGCUGCCAACAUCAGAUUGUGUUGUCUUCAACCUGCCCAGAAACCUUUUCUGAAAAAGAGGUCACUUUUCGUGUAGCUGGUGUCUGUUCUGCCUAUUAAAUGGGACUCCUGCUUCAUACUGGGAUGUGCUGCACUGGACAUCACAGCAUGAUGUGAGCUCUUAGAGAUUUCAGGCCUCAUCAUCUAAAUCAACAUUUGGUGAACUGUUUUAAAUAGUUGGUGAGCACAUUCAUCGUUUUAUGACCAACACUUCAUCAGGGCGAAUCCUAGCCAACACCGGGGCUUGAACCCGUGUCAUCGGUUAAAAGCAUUUCUCUCUACACUCAAUCUGAUCCUGCAGCCCCAAUGUUAGUAAUAUUACCUUGGGAGCCCAAAUGUAAGUAAGCCCAAAUGUGUGGUUGAGAUUUAAA